GACAAACAGGUCAAAUUAAGUUUUAGUUGGUGAAAAAGGAAGUUAGGGAACUUGCGUUGUUAAAUGGGAGUAGAAAAAUAGAUUUCUUUUGUAGGGGUGGAAUCUGUGCAAAAGAAGGUAGAUUAUAAAUUUUCUAGACUUGAUACUUCGAAAAUUAGUGAAGAGACCGGGAUUAGAUACCCCGUUAUUUUUAUUGUAAAAUUUGGUUUAAACCUACCUGAGUAUUACGGAUUGGGCUCAUUAUAAGCAUUAUAGAGAGCCCUUUUGUCUAAAACUCAAAAAACUUGGCGGUGCCUUAUUUCUUUCCAGGGGAACCUGUCCUGUAAUCGAUAAUCCACGAUUUAGCUUACUUUUUUUUGAAUGUAAAUGUAGUUUUAUAUCAGCCUGUAUACCGUCGUCGUCAGAUUACCUUUAAGAGGGAGAGAAGUUGUCAGGUGAAUAUGAUUUAAAUUAAAAAGCUUUAGGGCAAUUAGGCCUAGGAGUAUAUAAGUGUUUAGGUGUGUUUUGAUGUCAGAUCAAGGUGCAGCUUAUAAGAAAGGAGAGAUGGGUUACAGUAUAAAUUUAAUUUGGAUUCUGGGAUGUAACUUCUUAGAUGAAAUUGGACUUGGGAGUAAUUCAGUUUUAGUAAUUAGUAAGUAUGUGUGAAUGUUGUACUAAGGCGCGU
rnacentral:rRNA from 1 species